GACGAACGCUGGCGGCGUGCUUAACACAUGCAAGUCGAACGGAAAGGCCCUGCUUUUGUGGGGUGCUCGAGUGGCGAACGGGUGGGUAACACGUGAGUAACCUGCCCUUGACUUUGGGAUAACUUCAGGAAACUGGGGCUAAUACCGGAUAGGAGCUCCUGCUGCAUGGUGGGGGUUGGAAAGUUUCGGCGGUUGGGGAUGGACUCGCGGCUUAUCAGCUUGUUGGUGGGGUAGUGGCUUACCAAGGCUUUGACGGGUAGCCGGCCUGAGAGGGUGACCGGCCACAUUGGGACUGGGAUACGGCCCAGACUCCUACGGGAGGCAGCAGUGGGGAAUAUUGCACAGUGGGCGGAAGCCUGAUGCAGCAACGCCGCGUGCGGGAUGACGGCCUUCGGGUUGUAAACCGCUUUCGCCUGUGACGAAGCGUGAGUGACGGUAAUGGGUAAAGAAGCACCGGCUAACUACGUG
rnacentral:rRNA from 1 species